UGCCUACGGGGGGCAGCAGUGAGGAAUAUUGGUCAAUGGGCGAGAGCCUGAACCAGCCAAGUCGCGUGAGGGAAGACGGUCCUAUGGAUUGUAAACCUCUUUUGCCGGGGAGCAAAAAGCGGUACGUGUACCGCAUCGAGAGUACCCGGAGAAAAAGCAUCGGCUAACUCCGUGCCAGCAGCCGCGGUAAUACGGAGGAUGCGAGCGUUAUCCGGAUUUAUUGGGUUUAAAGGGUGCGUAGGCGGAACAUUAAGUCAGCGGUAAAAUCGAGGGGCGCAACCCCUUUAAGCCGUUGAAACUGGUGA
rnacentral:rRNA from 1 species